rnacentral:rRNA from 1 species
UACGAAGGGGGCUAGCGUUGUUCGGAAUUACUGGGCGUAAAGAGCGCGCAGGCGGUCGUUCAAGUCGCGUGUGAAAGCCCCCGGCUCAACUGGGGAGGGUCAUUCGAUACUGUCCGACUCGAAGGCAGGAGAGGGAAGCGGAAUUCCCGGUGUAGUGGUGAAAUGCGUAGAUAUCGGGAGGAACACCAGUGGCGAAGGCGGCUUUCUGGCCUGUUCUUGACGCUGAGGCGCGAAAGCUAGGGGAGCGAACGGG